GAAGCAAGCCAGACAGCCGCUGGCCGAUGCAGCAAUGCAAAGGCGGGAGGAAGGUCCGGACUCCAUAGAGCGGGGUGACGGUUAACGGCCGUCCGCUGAAAGCCUUCCGGCGCGAGCCGGGGGUAUAAGGCGAGGAAUAGGGCCACAGAGACGAGCGUAUUAAGUUACGGUGAAACGCGGUAACCUCCACCUGGUGCAAUUUCAAAUAGGCACGCGAUGAUGCUGCUCGCGGAGCGUGCGGGUAGAAAGCUUGAGCGGCGGAGUAAUCCGUCGCCUAGAGGAAUGGCUGUCAUAGCGCGGACCCGCAAGGGCGAGCGCCGUAACAAAAUCCGGCCUAUCGGCUUGCUUCAACU
rnacentral:RNase_P_RNA from 1 species